GUCUACAGCCAUGCUAUCCUGAACAAGCCCGAUCCUGUCUGAUCUUGGAAGCUAAGCAGGGUCGGGCCUGCUUAGUACUUGGAUGGGAUACCAACUAGAAAGAUCAGGUGCUGUAGGCA
rnacentral:rRNA from 1 species